rnacentral:rRNA from 1 species
UACGGGGGGGGCAAGCGUUGUUCGGAAUUACUGGGCGUAAAGGGCUCGUAGGCGGCCAACUAAGUCAGACGUGAAAUCCCUCGGCUUAACCGGGGAACUGCGUCUGAUACUGGAUGGCUUGAGUUCGGGAGAGGGAUGUGGAAUUCCAGGUGUAGCGGUGAAAUGCGUAGAUAUCGGGAGGAACACCAGUGGCGAAGGCGGUGCUCUGGGCCGGAACUGACGCUGAGGAGCGAAAGCGUGGGUAGCAAACAGG